rnacentral:rRNA from 1 species
GAUGAACGCUGGCGGCGUGCCUAAUACAUGCCAGUCGAGCGAACAGAUGAGGAGCUUGCUCCUCUGACGUUAGCGGCGGACGGGUGAGUAACACGUGGAUAACCUACCUAUAAGACUGGGAUAACUUCGGGAAACCGGAGCUAAUACCGGAUAAUAUAUUGAUCCGCAUGGUUCAAUAGUGAAAGACGGUUUUGCUGUCACUUAUAGAUGGAUCCGCGCCGCAUUAGCUAGUUGGUAAGGUAACGGCUUACCAAGGCAACGAUGCGUAGCCGACCUGAGAGGGUGAUCGGCCACACUGGAACUGAGACACGGUCCAGACUCCUACGGGAGGCAGCAGUAGGGAAUCUUCCGCAAUGGGCGAAAGCCUGACGGAGCAACGCCGCGUGAGUGAUGAAGGUCUUCGGAUCGUAAAACUCUGUUAUUAGGGAAGAACAAAUGUGUAAGUAACUAUGCACGUCUUGACGGUACCUAAUCAGAAAGCCACGGCUAACUACGUG